CAAAAGAGUAAAGAUGUAUGUAAAGAAGGAGAGGCCAAGGGGAUUGAGGCUGAGGGGACUGAGGCCGAGGGGACUAAUGAAGUAUCAAAUGAUGAAGGAGUUGAGGAGCCAAAACCUGGUAUGGAAUUUGCCACUGAUAAAGAGCUAUGACCUAUUAUAAGCGAUAUGUCAAGCAACAAGAUUUUGGUGUUGUAACACAAAUGACGAAGAGAGAGGCAGAUGGGAGUGCCAAAUAUAUGACAAUUGGGUGUGCGCGGGGUGGCAGGUAUCAUCCUCGCCACAACAAUAUCUCGAGGCCAAGACCAACAACUAAAACCGAUUGUAAGGCGAGGAUAAAUGCUCAUUUGGUGAAGGGUGUAUGGGUGGUGACCACUGUUGAGAUUGCCCAUAAUCAUAGUACUAUCAGCCCACAGAAGUCUAGGUUUUCUAGAUCGCACAAAUGUUUGGAUGAAUAUAGUCAAAGGAUGCUGAAUUUGAAU